CUCCACCCUGUGGGUGCUUCAGGGACAAGUGGGAGCAUGGCUGCCAACCAGGAGUUGCUGGUGAGGCCCUAGAUGAGGAAGAAUGACCGAGAAGGAAAGAAGAGGUCUCCAUCUGCUCAGAUCGGAGGACCUUACUCCACCUUGCCGGCAGCAGGGCCCUCACUUUCUAGAUCUGAACAAAGGGUCCGGAAGCCCCCCCGUGAGCACCCCGGCUCCCGGGCCUGAGGGCCGACUGCAGAAGCCCGGAUCCAGCGACUAUGGAUUACCCCCACGUGCCGGGCAGGUCUGGGGCGCCAGCGGUUCCGGAGGAAGGCAGGGGACGCUCACCUGAGCAGGUUCCCGGGGGCCGACAGCGAGCGCUCCUCCCGCCGGCUGCCCUCGAAGGGGUUCCCGAAGGAGCGCUUCCGGAUCAUGGUCUUGACCAGGAUCUGAGCGGGACAGGAAGAGGCAGGACACCCGCCCCUCGGGACGGCGGAGAUCGCUUCCCACAGCCCUCCGUGGGCACCAAAACCUGUGGGGUGGACAGCUGCUGUGCGUGCUGUGCCAUGCGGGAUUAAUGACAGGAAGGAGUCUGCGUAUUCUGCAGAGAUGCGGUUUUCUUUUUCGCAAGUGUUUUCCAUCUGCAGCUGGCUACUGUGUACAACUACUGGCUACUGCAUACAGUCAACUGCAUACAACUCUGUUUUGUACUACGUUCACCGUUACCUAAUUUCAGGACAUUUUACACUACCCCAAAAGAAACCCAUACUUGUUAGCAGCCACUCCCUCCUCUGCUCCCUGGAAACAGUCAUCUUUCUGCUUGUAGAGAUUUACCUACUCUGGACAUUUCCUACAAAUGGAACCCUACAAGACAUGGCCUUUUGUGCCCAGCUUCUUUCACCUCCCCUCAUGUUUCCAAGAUUCAUCCAUGGGGGACUCUGUGGCAGCACUCCAUUCAUGUUCAUGGCCCAGUAAUAUUCCUUUGUAUGGCUGGACCACACUGUGCUUAACCAUCAUCCACCGGCAGACAUGCGCUUCUUUCCGCUUUUUGAAAGAUGUGAAUACUGCUGCUACAAAUGUAUUCACACUCAGACUUUUAUGGGAACACAUUUUCUACACAAAAUGAUUUCAUUUCUCUUAGGUGUGUAGUAAGAGCAGAAUUUCCUGACCUUAUAAUAACUCUGUCUAACAUUCUGAGGAGCCACCAGACUAUUUGCUGAGCCAUUUUACAUUCCCCCAGCAGCCUAAUGGCAGCAGUUCCUCAGGGGGCUGCAUUUCAGUGGAGGCUGGAAACAUCCCAGGUUACUGUUUUUCUUUUUCUUCUUUUGGUUCCAGGGAUUGAACUCGGGACCUUGUACUUACAAGGCAGGCGCCAGAACCACUGAGCUAAAUUCCCAGCCCACAUCCCAGGUUACUGAGCACAGGCAGUGCACAGGCUGGUGUGGGAUAAGGACCUGAGGCCCAGGGCUUCUAGAAGGUUCCUCCAAGUCUGAAAGGCACCGAGGCCUGGCCUUGUCCACUGGCUGGAGCAAAACUUGCCGUGCCCACUGCCUCUCCCACUCUACCUGGCUGGCCUGGCCUGUCUGAGAGGCUCCUUGAGACAAGGCACUCGCCUCCACCCAUCAGCCACUGCUCAGCAUCCGGCUCUGCCUCCUCCCUCCCACAACCUGUGUCAUCCUUCCUGAACCCCCUCUGAUCCCCUCACCCACAGGACUCUGGGACUCAGCCCGUUGCCAGCCAGGGAGCCCUGGAAAGUUCUGGAGCAAGGGAGGAAACAACUGCCCCCCAGAAAUGGUGCGUUCUGUGAAGGAAACAUCAGAAGGGGGCAUCACUGAGAAGUCAGGUUCAGGCCCUCAAGCUGCCUUCAACCAGAGCACACUGCCUCCUCCAGUGACUUCUGAUUUUUUAAUGGCUUUACUGCUAAGAAGAAAAACAAGUAUUUAAAAAGCACUGAUUCAGCAAAAGGUAGAAACACCCAAAUGUCCACUAACUGAAGAAAGGCAGAAAAUGAGGCCUAUCCAUAUGAUGGAGUAUUACUUAGUCAUAAAAAGGAAUGGAGUGCUGGACACAGGCUACGACAUGAUGAACCUUAAAAACAUCUUGCUAAGUGAAGAGGUCAGACCCAGAAGCCUCACAGUUGUGUGAUUCUACUGAUAUGAAGUGUUCAGAACGAGCAAUCUGUAGGCAGGAGGUAAGAGAAGAAAGGGAGGGGAAGUGAUUGCUCGUGUAAGAGGUCAUUUUUAGUUUCUUCCUCGCCUUUCUUUCCUUUCUUCUUUUUGUCCUUUCCGUGUGUGUGUGUGUGUGUGUGUAUGUGUAUGUGUGGUACUAGGGAUUAAAUCCAGCUGUUGCACUGAGCUACAACCUCAGCCCAUUUUUUAUGUUUCAUUCUGAGACAGGGUCUCACUAAGUCACUAAGUAGCCCAAACUUGAAAUCCUCCUGCUUCAGCCUCCUGUGUAGCUGGGAUCAGAGACAUGGGCCACCACACCCAAUAAGGAUUUCUCCUGAAGUGAGAAAAAUAUGAGAACCAUCAAGGUGAUAAUUGUGUAAGACCUGGAAUGUCCUAAAUACCCUGAAUUUGGCUCAUUUGAUGUUACCUGCAUUCUACCUCCAUAAAUAGCAGGAAAAGCGCCACUUGGAAAUCAAAGGCUGUGUCCCCAGCAAGGCUCUCACUUGCAGCCCAGCAGACCCUGCCACAGCAGCCCCUUCCCCAUGCACUUGGUGGUGUUAUCCCCUGGAGAGGUGGCCCUGCCCCUCCCCAGACACCUGGUCCCACUUCUUCCCUCUGGCCCAUCUUUCUCACGAGGCUGGGAGACCCCAGGAGCUGGCCCUGGACCUUGCUCCUCUCUGUAUCCUCGAGCCUGGCACGGGAUGUGUAGCAGACACCUCUGCCCAGUAUUAGUAGGCUACAGUGGCACAAGCUUCUGGCUCCUCCAUAAUUCGGCUGUGUUACACUGGAAGUAGCAGAGCUUGGCUGAGUUCAUCUCCAGCCAAGGUCAACUUGGCUCCAACUAAAUUCUUCCCUCUGAAUUAGCCGUUUGUUCUCUUCAGCAAAGAUAUGCUUGUGUCUUUACUCUCCAGUCCCGCCUGCUGGAUCCUUGUUAUCAGCAGGUGUCCCAGGCUGGCCAGCUCCCCCUUCCCACGCUUGUAAUACACAUUGGGUGUCCUGGGAAGCCUUUGUCUUUGCUGCCCAGAGCGGCUUGGAUCAGCCCAAGGCUCAGUUUCUCUCAAUCUCUGUCUGUGUGCUUUUUCUCUUUCCCACUUUCCUAUCUCGCUGACCCUGUGCUGGCUCACAAGAGACCAGGACACCUGCAGGGGUCUCUGGCAACGUCUCCUGUCCCCUUCCCCUUUCCCCAUAGGAUGGGCCUCCACAAGCAUUUGCUGCAGACAAACCCAUCAAACCCACAGAGAGGGCCGGACCUUGUCAUUCCCAACGGGGACCACAGCCCUCAAGACCCUGCAGAAACUUCUCCCGAGCUGGCUCAAGAUUGAAAUCUGUGUUGCAUCUCUCUCCCCCACCUUGCUUGCCUCAGUGGUCCUGUCUUUCUGGAAGCUUCUGCUGGCCCAGCUCCCUCCCACUUCAGGACAAUGCCCAUGCUGUCCCCCCCCCACUCCCUGGUGCACAGGCCCUUAUUCCAUGAAGCCAUCCACAA